rnacentral:rRNA from 1 species
UACGUAGGGUGCAAGCGUUGUCCGGAAUUAUUGGGCGUAAAGAGCUCGUAGGCGGUUUGUCGCGUCUGCUGUGAAAUCCCGGGGCUCAACCCCGGGCGUGCAGUGGAUACGGGCUGGCUAGAGGCAGGCAGGGGAGAACGGAAUUCCCGGUGUAGCGGUGAAAUGCGCAGAUAUCGGGAGGAACACCGGUGGCGAAGGCAGAUCUCUGGGCCGUAACUGACGCUGAGGAGCGAAAGCGUGGGGAGCGAACAGG